CAGCUUUUCAGGGUAGGGGAAGUACAAUCACUUUGUGUAUCAGAAGGUUCUGAAACCGUCAAAGAGGGGAUUACUAUUCAAUUUAAAGAGGAGGAAGAAAGUAGCUCCUUUCAUGGUGCAUUUGAGCAAUGGAAAAGUGACGUAACGAUUCAAGGUAUGCUACCUUCUGCAAACAUUAUAUACAAUACAUUGAUGAUUAGUUUCUUUUGAAUUUUGUAAUUUCCUUUAUCACAUGAUUACACCUAAUGACAUGAAACAAUAAACCAA